UACAGAGGGUGCUAGCGUUGUUCGGAAUCAUUGGGCGUAAAGGGCGUGUAGGCGGUUUGUUAAGUCAUGUGUGAAAUCCCUCGGCUCAACCGGGGAACGACGCAUGAAACUGGCAGCUAGAGUACCAAAGAGGGGGUGGAAUUCCGGUGUAGCGGUGAAAUGCGCAGAGAUCGGGAGGAACACCGUAGCGAAGGCGGCACUCUGGGCCGGUACUGACGUGAGGAGCGAAAGCGUGGGGAGCAAACAGG
rnacentral:rRNA from 1 species